rnacentral:sRNA from 2 species
CGACGACCCGGGCCAGGUAGGCGAAUCGGGGACCCAACCGAGCACUGGGGUGAAUCCGCGCGGUUCGCGCGGUAGGGCGUCCUUCUCGUCCGAAUCCGUCAGCUAACCCGGUAGGCGGCCGCGGGAGAAGGG